GUGCCCACAGUUCCUUCAUUUCCUUUUGUGUUUCCUUUCUUUGUCUGAUUUUAAGGAACUAAUACAGCAUCUGGUGUGUAUAUGUCUGGUUUUAAGCUCUUUCUGUCCAUGAGUUUGUCAGGACAGUGAGGAAAUGAAGUACUAACUUUAAAUGAUUUGUUGGGACGUUUGUUUCUUGUUGACUUUUUUUUUUUAAGAGUCGGGGGUCUCACUGUGUUGCCCAGGAGAUCGAGGCUGCAGUGAGCUGUAAUCAUGCCACUACACUCCAUCCUGGGCAGCAGAGCAAGACCCUGUCUCAAAAAAAAAAAUUAAAAAAAAUACAUAAAUAAAAGAAAACAGUAAACACUAAACUAAAACAAUCUUUGGGACUAUUAGAGGCACAAAAAAGGUUUUUAAGAUCAUUAAGUUAAAAGUCAUUCUAAUGCAGAGGAGGCACAUCAGAUGUAGAGUUUGAGUAAUUCACCCAAGAUUACACAGCUAAUAAGUAACAGAAUUGACACUAGGUUAUAGAAUUAGUGUUUGUGUUAGAAGGAGCACAAACAGGCAUGCCUUGGUUUCGAAAUCUGGCUGCAGCACCUGUUAGCGGCAAGUUUAAAAAUAUUGUUCAGCUUUC
rnacentral:sRNA from 1 species